UACGGGGGGGGCAAGCGUUGUUCGGAAUUACUGGGCGUAAAGCGCGCGUAGGCGGCUUUUCAAGUCGAGUGUGAAAGCCCCGGGCUCAACCUGGGAACGGCGCGCGAGACGGGGGGGCUGGAGUUCGGGAGAGGAGCGUGGAAUUCCCAGUGUAGAGGUGAAAUUCGUAGAUAUUGGGAAGAACACCGGUGGCGAAGGCGGCGCUCUGGACCGAGACUGACGCUGAGGCGCGAAAGCGUGGGGAGCAAACAGG
rnacentral:rRNA from 1 species